UGCGGUUCUCGGGUGAUGCACCCCGGAAUUGGGCUCCCUCCUCUGGUUCUGGGUGCGUCACCCGAAAACCGCA
rfam:Myotis davidii contig220329, whole genome shotgun sequence.